rnacentral:rRNA from 1 species
UGGGGAAUUUUGGACAAUGGGGGCAACCCUGAUCCAGCAAUACCGCGUGUGUGAAGAAGGCCUUCGGGUUGUAAAGCACUUUUGUCCGGGAAGAAAUCGCACCUGAUAAUACCGGGUGUGGAUGACGGUACCGGAAGAAUAAGGACCGGCUAACUACGUGCCAGCAGCCGCAGUAAUACGUAGGGUCCAAGCGUUAAUCGGAAUUACUGGGCGUAAAGCGUGCGCAGGCGGUUGUGCAAGACCGAUGUGAAAUCCCCGGGCUUAACCUGGGAAUUGCAUUGGUGACUGCACGGCUAGAGUGUGUCAGAGGGGGGUAGAAUUCCACGUGUAGCAGUGAAAUGCGUAGAGAUGUGGAGGAAUACCGAUGGCGAAGGCAGCCCCCUGGGAUAACACUGACGCUCAUGCACGAAAGCGUGGGGAGCAAACAGG